ensembl:lncRNA
UAGGCAUUAAGGAUUUAAUCCAACAAACAUUUAUUGAGCAACUGCUGUGUGCUAUGCACCACCCCCGGUGCCAUGAUGGACACAGAUGGAUAAAACACGGUCCCUGCCCUUGGCGAGCUUACAGUCUAAGACAGUCAUAGGACAAGUGCACAGUAACUAUAAUACAAGGCAGAAUGUGGUAAGUGCCGUGAGAAAGGGACAAAUAAAGUGCUAUGGUGGUUCAGCGGAUGGAGAGAUCCCAGUGGCUGGUCGAUCGCGGGAGCUUCAUGGAAGAUGUGGUUUCUGCAUGGGCCUUGAAGGAAGCAGAAAAGAGUGUUCCAGGGGAUGGGAACAGCAAGACCAAAGGCACAGAGACAGGAAGACUGGGCACCUUUUUGAGGAAUGACGACUAUUCUAGAUGGACCAGUGCAGGGUGUAAGGGAAGGAUGGGGCCUUAUUGGAUGGCCUGUAACGUCAGGACAAAGACUUGCACAUCAUUUUAAAAGUUUGUGAAUGGCUGGAGAUUAAACAGAUAAAUCUCUAUGGAUGUUUAGGAUAGAUGGAGAACGUUCAAGCAGGCCCAGAGGAACCAGCGAGAGGAGACCGAUGUUGAAAUUGCCGGAGCAACCACAAGGCAAGGAUGGUGCAAGAGCAACAAGGGGAUGCGUGGAGAAGAAACCAAGAUGACUUCAGGGUUUCAGAACUGGGUGGAGAGACUGUGGAAGAAGAGGAGGCAGAAGUGAUAGAUUUGGCUUCAGAGAUGUUGAGUUUCUGGCGCCACCAGAACAGGUGGGAUGAAUGACCAGUGAGCAGUGUACAAUCGAGCCUGGAGCUCGAGGGAGGUGCCGAGCUGCAGGAAGUGGAGGAUGACUUCACAGGAAGGCGGGGGGUACUAACAGAGCAUGCAAAGCUGUGAUGAAAGGGGCCCGAGGAGAGGAUGCUGCGGUGCGGAAGGUCUGAGUGUGGGCCAAGGAGGAGAGAGGGAUACAACAGUCAGGUCUACUAUGGCUACUCUCUAGAUUAAGGUGAGGGUGUCAAUAAAUAAGUCAUAAAUACAUAAAUAAAUAAAUACAUAAAUAAACACUGAAGGGGCAAUGGGAAAGGGGAGGAAAAUCAUGAGAAUGUGGCCUCUGGGCACCUUGGGGACAGGGAACGUCCAGGAGUCAGUGUGGAGCUGAGCAAUGCAGAGAGCUUGGUGAUGAGAAGGGGCUUUUGACCUGAAGUCUCUGGUCCCAGGAGCGUGGAGGCCAAGAGGGUGUUGAGAGGAAAGAUGGCACCAGCACCAGAGAGCCCCUCCCGGGCCUGGGGACGAGGGGAUGAGGCCAUGGGGGUCAGGACGGGUGGCUGGGUGCCUGCUGGUGGACACAGAGCACAAAGCGGGUAGAGUGGCUAAGGACCAGCGAGGGGAUGGAUGUUCCCUCAGAAAUGGGAGGAAGACAGUGAAAGGGGAGGACAGAGGUCAAGAGAUCCGGAGUAGACACUGCAUUUCAGAUGGCUCCAUCUCUGCAGCAAAGGAGGAGGCUGAGAGUGGGGCUCAGGUGGGGGCUUGAGGAGAAUGCAGAAGGGCGGAGGGGCUUCAGGGUGGGUGAGGACGAGGGGACUGGGGAUGACUGAGGGUCAGGCGGAGGUUGGCUGACUGCACCUGCUCCUGGAGGCCUGUGGCCACUGUCGUUACAAGGCAUCGGAUCAGGGUACCAGGUACAGACUGGGACUCCUUGGGGCUGCCCCAGGCUAGCCGGGCUGGGUCAGACGCUACAGUGGACUCUCAGGCAAACUGAGCUCUAAGCAGGAGGAGAAGACGGCUGCCUCCUGAUCGUGGAAAGGUGGCUGUGGAGGGGAAGCCAAGGCCUUGGAGCUCCUGCCAUCACGUAGCUGCUUUGGCAGCACAGGGCGUGCAGGUUGGGAGUGGUGACAUGUGGGCUGUCCUGGGUCCCCAGCACUCUCUAGAGAGAGCCCAGAGGCAGAUGGUCCCUGCCCCCUCAACUCUGUUAGUUUCAGUUUAAGGAACCAAGACCGAGAAGAGACAGAAAGAAAGCCAUGUUUUAAAAAGAGCUCUGGCCCUUUGAUUCCCCUGCAGGGAGGGGCAUUGACAGGUACAUGGACGCAGGGCUGACUCCGGACCUGACAUGAGGCGCCUCUCUGCACUCGCCACUGGAACCUCCUGGAACCCAAGGCCUUGGCUAAUCCACUGAGCCUGGAAAUUCUGCCUGUUUCCCAGGAUGCUGGAGGCUUCAACAAGGGAACACCUUCCAGGGCCUCUGAGAUCCUCAGGGUGAAAAGCCCCUUGGAGAAGUGUAAAAUACGAGAUGUUAAUUUCCACUUCUUUCAAGAAGUCCAAACCACUCUGUUCCCACAGAGGCUGUGAGGGCUGUUGCUUUUUAAAAUACUCACUUUACAGUGCAAAUCCCAAAUCUCAGACUUCAAGUGUCAACAAGAAUAGCAACGAGGGAGGAAACACAGGGAUGCAGAUGUGGUUCGGAGCUGGAGCGUCCGCCUGUGGGUUUAAGAGGUUCCGAGCAUCCUUCCACCGCCCCCACUGGCUUCCCAUCAGGCAUUCAUUUCGAGCAAAUGUCCUGCUCUGAAUCAUCAUUGAUUAUGUCUGGCCUCCUAGGCUUGGAAACAGAUCUUGAUCCCUUUUCUUAACUCCCUUCACCUUCAAGACAAUGUUGUUGUUGUUUUUAAACUUAUCUUUUGAAUAGAUUUUAAAACACUUAUUUAUCAGGCAAGAGAAUGAGCUAACAAAUCAAGCUGGCUAACGCUCAUCUACACAUGACCUGUGAUUCGAGCCC